CACAUGUUUGGUACUCACAAAUGAUUUUUUUUUUUUGGUUUAUUCUAGUUGAUUAUCUUUGAAAUAAUUUUCUUGAGAUAGUUGGAAUUCGGAAUACACGUGUUAAGAAACUCUGAGUUAUCAUAACAGGUCUCAUAUUACUGAAGGUAUAGAGUAAAACGGCUACAUCUAUCUCACUAUUGUGUUUGUCCGGUCUUUUGCGUAGUUGGCACCCAAUAAAUACUGACGGAAUGAAGAAACAGCAGAGCUUUGAAAUAUAAGCAAGAUUUCUGCGGUUGAAAUGGCAAGGGAAAGAAAGGCAUGCCUCACAGGAGAAAUCAUGUGAAUAGUGACCGGAGGCUGAACACAUAUUAAUGGAAAGGUUCUGAAAUAUUUGUCGUAAAAUAAAGGUGCUUACAGACACACAUACAAGAUACCUGGAUUAUAUCUUCUGUGAUCCAGAAACUGGUAGAACUGCUCCCAUGCAUGUGUUUUAGCCCUCCAAAUUCGACUUUAAAUGUGAGCUUUGGAACUGGAAAGAUGGGGCUUUUGAGUGUAGGUUCUCACACUCAUGAGCUGCAAGACUGUAGACCAGACAAAGAAGUAUUUUGAAUGUUGUCUCAUUUGAUUUCAGAUGUUGCUGGUAACACAUUUUUGUCAAGGUGGCUGGGUUCUUGUUCAGGGCAGCUUUCGCUUCCUAACAGUUAACAGUGGUAGAUAUCCUUCACUCCCUGGGUAGCGCCUCUGUGUGGAGAGCCACUGCAUCGUAAAACCAGUACACCCCAGUGCCACCUUUCUCCAGAAUAUAUAAUAAUCAGUUGUUAUUGACCUCAAAUUUUAAGGGCUUUGUUUGCUUUUUAUGGAUACUGUAUCAUGUGCUUCGUUGCCAGAAGUAAAUGCCAUUGGAAUGACUCAAUCCAAUGCAAGUGUUGUUUCCUGUCUGUGGAAUGACCAUCAAAAGAAACAUCUUCAUAGAAGCCAUGUGGGUAAAGCACACCCGAAGCCCAUGAGCAGAGACAGUCCUGUAAACCACGUAUCACUGGAGCCCUCCUUGCGCUAUGGAGAUCUACACAGUUCAUGAGAAUGUAAAUUCACACCCCUCGCCCCGUUGUGAUGGUAUGUUUUGGCUUUUCCUAGUUUCUGUGUCUAAGUAUGUUGUCGUGCUUUUGCCCUUCCUCAUUACUUUGUACAGUUUGCCCAGACUUAGCCAUAACAGUUUCCUAAUAGUCCCAUUCUAGCAUUUUCUUUUCUUUCUUUAGUUUGGCAGCAAAUUAAAAGAGAAGAGAAGUCUCACUUUGGACUACUUCUUACAUCCGUAUCCUGGCUGCCUCUUCUGCCCCUUAAUCUUUUUUUCCCAGGAGAACAGUUUAGUCUCUUUCUUUGAAGCUUUUCUUGCCACCGAUAUCUGUGCCUUCUACUGUGUGACUCUGGGAUGGUUGCCAGGUAUGUUUUCCCAGGUAUGUUCUCCCAAAGAAUUUUUAAACUAAAUUUAAAAACCAAG
rnacentral:lncRNA from 1 species